GCGAGAAUGGCGGAACUGGUAGACGCGCCGGAUUUAGGAUCCGGUGGGGUUUCCCGUGGGGGUUCGAGUCCCCCUUCUCGCACCC
rnacentral:tRNA from 1 species